rnacentral:rRNA from 1 species
UACGAAGGGGGCUAGCGUUGCUCGGAAUCACUGGGCGUAAAGCGCACGUAGGCGGCUUCUUAAGUCAGGGGUGAAAUCCUGGAGCUCAACUCCAGAACUGCCUUUGAUACUGAGAGCUUGAGUCCGGGAGAGGUGAGUGGAACUGCGAGUGUAGAGGUGAAAUUCGUAGAUAUUCGCAAGAACACCAGUGGCGAAGGCGGA